rnacentral:rRNA from 1 species
AUUGAACGCUGGCGGUAUGCUUAACACAUGCAAGUCGAACGGUAGCAGGCCUUCGGGCGCUGACGAGUGGCGGACGGGUGAGUAACGCGUAGGAAUCUGCCUCAUAGUGGGGGACAACGUGGGGAAACUCACGCUAAUACCGCAUACGCCUACGGGGAAAGCGGGGAUCUUCGGACCUCGCGCUAUGAGAUGAGCCUGCGUUAGAUUAGCUAGUUGGUAGGGUAAAGGCCUACCAAGGCGACGAUCUAUAGCUGGUCUGAGAGGACGAUCAGCCACACUGGGACUGAGACACGGCCCAGACUCCUACGGGAGGCAGCAGUGGGGAAUAUUGGACAAUGGGCGCAAGCCUGAUCCAGCAAUACCGCGUGUGUGAAGAAGGCCUUAGGGUUGUAAAGCACUUUCAAUUGGGAGGAAAACCUGUCGGUCAAUACCCGGCAGCUUGACAUUACCUUUAGAAGAAGCACCGGCUAACUCCGUGCCAGCAGCCGCGGUAAU